rnacentral:lncRNA from 1 species
GCUGCCUCAAGAGGUGGGGCCUCCCCUCUCCUAAGAGGUCUCCGAGCAGAGCCGAGAUAAGCACUUGCCAGUGUUGCCUGCACUGUCUUCAGCACCUCUGGCACAUCCCUCUGAAUGCCUUCCAUGGUGGCAGAUGAUCAUCCUUCGAGGGUGUAUUUGAUUUUACAAGCAGCCAAAAGUCAUUUGGAACCAAGCCUGAUGAAUUAAUUAACCAUGCAAUGCCAUUUUUAGUCAGAAACAAGAUGAAGAAACUGAGGCCAGAGAGAUUAAGUGACUUAUCCACAGUCACUUCAGCUUUCUCCUGUGGGAUCAAAUCAAAAUAGUCCUGUUCGCAUCAAAACCUCAUUCUCUGGAUCAUUUUAAGACCAGGAUAACGAAUACAAUCUCUUCAGUUACCAAGUAGCAACUGAGGAAAGUUUCUUACCAAAUUAAAAAAUCAACUGAAGCAAUGUAUAGCACAAGAUGGUGGUUAUGUUGAAUUUUAAUAAGAACUUUAUCAAUAUUUCAAGGUUUUAAAUAAUUAACCU